UUGUGAAAAAGUUUAAUAUGCAGGGGUGAGAAAUCAGGUUGGGAUCCUAUCCUACUUCUAAAUAUAGGGUUUAGUGAUUGAGAUUUAGGUUUUGUAUUUAGAAUGUGAAAGAUAUAGUUGGGGCCAGCAUUAAUUUUUUCCAUGAAAUCAUAGGUAUUUCAUUAUUAUACAAAUAUAUACUAUGUUAUUUAUUUUGUUCUAUUCUAUUUGAGUUUAAGAUUUAUAUUUGAGUUUAUGGUUUAUAUUUGAGUUUAUGAUUUAUUGAUUAGAGUUUAGAGUUUAGUAUUUAAGGGUUGGGGUAUAUUUGAUAUAUGUAUGAGUAUAUAUGGGUUAAGGUUGAGGUAAUAUUUAGUAUUAGGGUAUGUGGGUGAGAUUAUAAUUUUAUACUAUUUCGGCGACGUGAAAUAGCACACAUCAGUACAUAUGUGUAUGGUCAAUAAACAGCUAACGUUGAUGGUUUGUUCUUCUUUCCUUUGAAAUAAUUUUUAGGCACACCUACCAUAUAU
rnacentral:lncRNA from 1 species